rnacentral:ribozyme from 1 species
GGUCGAUCCGGAGAUUAUCAAACGAGAACACGGCAGGAGGUUGAAUGACCGGCCCGACGCACACUAUACCGCCGUCAAGCACUACAGUGACACCAAAUUGUGCAAUCAAUUGUUGGCCACCACCCUGAUCGAACGAUGGCCCGACACCAAGGUGUUCAGUGUGUCACCGGGAAUGGUCGAUACGGGAUUGUGGCGUCAUUUUCCACUCUGGUUUCAACUAAUGACGUGG